CCUACGGGUGACAGCAGUGAGGAAUAUUGGUCAAUGGCCGGAAGGCUGAACCAGCCAUGCCGCGUGAAGGUCAGUGCCCUAUGGGCGUUAAACUUCUUUUGUGCGGGAGCAAUCAUGGUCACGUGUGGCCAGACGAGAGUACCGUACGAAUAAGCAUCGGCUAACUCCGUGCCAGCAGCCGCGGUAAUACGGGGGAUGCAAGCGUUAUCCGGAUUUAUUGGGGUUAAAGGGUGCGUGGGCUGGGAGGUAAGUGAGCGGUGAAAUGCCCCCGCUCAACGGGGUGAAGUGCCAUUGAUACUGCCUUGCUGGAAUGCGGAUGCCGUGGGAGGAAUGUGUGGUGUAGCGGUGAAAUGCAUAGAUAUCACACAGAACACCGAUUGCGAAGGCAUCUCACGAAUCCGCGAUUGACGCUGAUGCACGAAAGCGUGGGUAUCAAACAGGAUUAGAUACCCCUGUAGUC
rnacentral:rRNA from 1 species